rnacentral:ncRNA from 14 species
AUUAUAUUUGAAUAAUAACCUUGUAUAAGUUCAGGAAUAUGGCCUGAGCGUUUCUACCAGCUACCAUAAAUAGCUUGUCUACAAGGAUAGUGAUGAUUGAA